rnacentral:rRNA from 1 species
AACGAACGCUGGCGGCAUGCCUAACACAUGCAAGUCGAACGAGACCUUCGGGUCUAGUGGCGCACGGGUGCGUAACGCGUGGGAACCUGCCCUUAGGUUCGGAAUAACUCCCCGAAAGGGGUGCUAAUACCGGAUAAUGUCUUCGGACCAAAGAUUUAUCGCCUUUGGAUGGGCCCGCGUUGGAUUAGCUAGUUGGUAGGGUAAAAGCCUACCAAGGCGACGAUCCAUAGCUGGUCUGAGAGGAUGAUCAGCCACACUGGGACUGAGACACGGCCCAGACUCCUACGGGAGGCAGCAGUUGGGAAUAUUGGACUAGGGGCGAGAGCCUGAUCCAGCAAUGCCGCGUGAGUGAUGAAGGCCUUAGGGUUGUAAAGCUCUUUUACCCGGGAUGAUAAUGACAGUACCGGGAGAAUAAGCACCGGCUAACUCCGUG